AAAUUGAAGAGUUUGAUCAUGGCUCAGAUUGAACGCUGGCGGCAGGCCUAACACAUGCAAGUCGAACGGUAGCACAGAGAGCUUGCUCUCGGGUGACGAGUGGCGGACGGGUGAGUAAUGUCUGGGAAACUGCCUGAUGGAGGGGGAUAACUACUGGAAACGGUAGCUAAUACCGCAUAACGUCGCAAGACCAAAGAGGGGGACCUUCGGGCCUCUUGCCAUCAGAUGUGCCCAGAUGGGAUUAGCUAGUAGGUGGGGUAAYGGCUCACCUAGGCGACGAUCCCUAGCUGGUCUGAGAGGAUGACCAGCCACACUGGAACUGAGACACGGUCCAGACUCCUACGGGAGGCAGCAGUGGGGAAUAUUGCACAAUGGGCGCAAGCCUGAUGCAGCCAUGCCGCGUGUAUGAAGAAGGCCUUCGGGUUGUAAAGUACUUUCAGCGGGGAGGAAGGUGUUGUGGUUAAUAACCACAGCAAUUGACGUUACCCGCAGAAGAAGCACCGGCUAACUCCGUGCCAGCAGCCGCGGUAAUACGGAGGGUGCAAGCGUUAAUCGGAAUUACUGGGCGUAAAGCGCACGCAGGCGGUCUGUCAAGUCGGAUGUGAAAUCCCCGGGCUCAACCUGGGAACUGCAUUCGAAACUGGCAGGCUAGAGUCUUGUAGAGGGGGGUAGAAUUCCAGGUGUAGCGGUGAAAUGCGUAGAGAUCUGGAGGAAUACCGGUGGCGAAGGCGGCCCCCUGGACAAAGACUGACGCUCAGGUGCGAAAGCGUGGGGAGCAAACAGGAUUAGAUACCCUGGUAGUCCACGCCGUAAACGAUGUCGACUUGGAGGUUGUGCCCUUGAGGCGUGGCUUCCGGAGCUAACGCGUUAAGUCGACCGCCUGGGGAGUACGGCCGCAAGGUUAAAACUCAAAUGAAUUGACGGGGGCCCGCACAAGCGGUGGAGCAUGUGGUUUAAUUCGAUGCAACGCGAAGAACCUUACCUACUCUUGACAUCCAGAGAACUUWSCAGAGAUGSWUUGGUGCCUUCGGGAACUCUGAGACAGGUGCUGCAUGGCUGUCGUCAGCUCGUGUUGUGAAAUGUUGGUGCGUCGUAGUCCGGAUUGGAGUCUGCAACUCGACUCCAUGAAGUCGGAAUCGCUAGUAAUCGUAGAUCAGAAUGCUACGGUGAAUACGUUCCCGGGCCUUGUACACACCGCCCGUCACACCAUGGGAGUGGGUUGCAAAAGAAGUAGGUAGCUUAACCUUCGGGAGGGCGCUUACCACUUUGUGAUUCAUGACUGGGGUGAAGUCGUAACAAGGUAACCGUAGGGGAACCUGCGGUUGGAUCACCUCCUUA
rnacentral:rRNA from 1 species